CAGUUGUUCUGCCAAGGGCAUGGCUGGGUAGCUAUGUACGGAAUGGAUAAGCGCUGAAAGCAUCUAAGCGCGAAGCCAACUUCAAGAUAAGAUUUCCCACCGCAAGGGUAAGACCCCAGAAAGACUAUCUGGUUGAUAGGUCGAAGGUGUAAGUGCAGCAAUGUAUUUAGCUUAUCGAUACUAAUAGGUCGAGGACUUGACCAAU
rnacentral:rRNA from 1 species